CCUACGGGAGGCAGCAGUGAGGAAUAUUGGUCAAUGGUCGCAGGGCUGAACCAGCCAAGCCGCGUGAGGGAUGAAGGUCCUCUGGAUUGUAAACCUCUUUUGUCAGGGAGCAAAGGGCGCCACGUGUGGCGCUAUGCGUGUACCUGAAGAACAAGCAUCGGCUAACUCCGUGCCAGCAGCCGCGGUAAUACGGGGGAUGCGAGCGUUAUCCGGAUUUAUUGGGUGUAAAGGGUGCGCAGGCGGAAUGUGAAGUAAGCGGUAAAAUUUCGGGGCUCAACCCCGUUGCGCCGUUGAAACUGGCAGUCGUGAGUGGGAGAGAGGUAUGCGGAAUGCGUGGUGUAGCGGUGAAAUGCAUAGAUAUCACGCAGAA
rnacentral:rRNA from 1 species